GGGCUAGUGGUCUAGUGGUUAUGACGUCGCGCUUACAACGCGGAGGUCGCCGGUUCAAUUCCGGCCUAGCCCA
rnacentral:tRNA from 1 species